rnacentral:lncRNA from 1 species
AAACUAUAACUAGCAAGGGUCUCAUGAGGCUGAAAUCAAGGCUGGGCUCCUAUCUGAAGGCUCUGGAGAAGAGUCUGCCUCCAAACUCAGAUGGAUUGUUGGCAGAAUUCAGUUCCUGGUGGUUGUUGCCAGCGGUUGUUUUCAGAAACUAGAAGCAGCUCUCCAGUCCUUGCACGUGUUCCCCUCCAUCUUCAGAAAUGAGAAACUGAUUACAUCUGCUUAUUUGGACAGUGAAUGGAACCACAUAUUCUGCCUGUUGGCAAACACCAAAUCUGUAUAGUUUAUUUUCUUCAAAGGGAAUCAUGAUUGCCAACAAUCACUCAGCACCAACAAUUUACUGAAUGUUUAUCUGCCUGCAUUCUUCUUGUGGCUGGAAAUGUAGCAGUGAACCAGACCGAGACCCUGAUCCGCUGGGUAUAUAGCUGGGGGAGUCAGACAUUCAUGAAAAUGACUUCUAGUGCCACAGAUAUUUCAAAAGAUGCAGUAAAGAGUUCUGUGGGUCUGAAUGAUAUGGUGUGCUAACCAAAUAUGUGAAGGUGGCGAAGGUCUCCUAGAAGAAUUGGUGCAAAACUUGAGUCUCAAAGGAUGAGCUGGGUGAGGAGUUGGGCACAGUAUUCUGGGCAGUGGGAACAUCAUGGACAGAAGCCUGAAUGCAGCGGAGAGACUGACUCACUUGUGGGCAUGAAGGAGAUCAGCAUGACUGGAUUGGAGCUCACUUCCUGGUGUUUUCACCUCAUUGCAUCCCUGGUUGGUUUCUGUUGCUUGCAAUGAAAGAACCCUUACAAAUGCAAUAAUGCAGAAGUAACAAUGAAGAUGACACUGAUUCACACAAGAUUUAAUUUGUUACAUGAGUAAAUAAACAAAGCAAAAUGAACAGAAUUUACUAUACUGCAUCCCUGCUGGGAGUAUGUUGAGCUAUCUGGCCUGGAAGGCCUUUGUGACCUGUUGAAAGAAUAUACAUGGAUUUACUUCAGGAGAAAAAUAAAGUGUUAUUUUAAAAA